rnacentral:lncRNA from 1 species
UCAGGUGGUUCGUGUCAAGAGUUUUCAAGAACGAAGAAUCGAAUUUUAAUUGUAGUAAGAUAAUUGGGCUAGACUAAUGGUUUCCUGGGCUAUUCUAGCCUCAAGUUGGUGUAUUUGUAUGUUUUACUUGAGUUUAAGUCUACGGGGUGGGGUUGUAUUACUGGAGUUUGGUUGCUUGGAUGUAGGCUUAAUUUCCGCCGCCUCCAUUCCUGGAAUUUUUCCCUUUCUUUCUAUCCUUUUCUUUCUUGGCUUUGGCCUAUACUUCAUUCCAUUUGUCACAAAAAAUUGGAUUUUUGCUGAUGAAUACCCUUCUAAAUAUCGAAUUUUGUACGAAUACCCUUCCAAAAUUAAUAUUUGCAUGUAUACCUUCAUAAAACAUUUGUUUUACUAUUCUAUCCUUUUUUAAUCUUUGUUUUUGCAUAUGUACCCAUGCCAUCUACGUCAUUAAAAAAUUAAUGGUUUCAAAUUAAAAUGACUAAAAUAUCUAUAAUAGGUAGAUGUGUAAAAAAUAUAUAUUUAUAAGUCAUCUGUGAUGAAGAACAAAAAAAUAAUUUCAAAAUUUUAUUUUACUUUUAAUUAAAAUAAAUAUGGUUUUUAUUAAUGGUGUUAGAAGAACCGUUAUGUUAAGGGCAUUUUGUACAAAAACAGUGUUUUAUGAGGGUACAGAAAUAAAUAUAAAUUUUAAAAAAGUAUUCAUGCAAAUUUGAAUUUUUAGAAAGAUAUUCAUGCAAAAAAUCCAAAAAAAUUAUGGUGAGUUUCUAAUAAUU